rnacentral:lncRNA from 1 species
UACCUACUAUAAAAGUAUGAAUAAUUGGUAAUGGUUUCUUCCCUUUUUUGUGUGUCCAAUAUUACCCUUCGCCCAAUAACUUAUUUGGUGGAUAAUAUGGUAAAUAUACAUUACAAUAACAAUAACAAACUAAAAAAAAACGCCACUUCUAUGAUAUAAUAUUAAAUAAUAAUAAUUAUUUUACUUGUCCACUAUCAUUUUAAUGAUAAUUAUAUUUUGUGUUAAAACAAGUAAUUAGUUAAUACAUAUUAAUUAGAAUAAUUAUUACUAUGAAAUAAUAUUAAAUAAUUAUACUUAUUUUACUUGCCCACUACACUUUUAAUGAUGAUUAUUUUUUGCCGG